UUUGAACAGAAAAGGAAAGAGAGGGAAGUACAUUUACUCUUUGCCAUUCAGAUGGCACAAGGUGGACAAAGGAGCAGUUUUGCCAAGAAUAUGGAUCUGUCUCUGAGAUUCCAACUCCCUGGAAGAGAACAUUUUAUAUUGGACGUAGAGAAAUGGAUAUUAUCUGCCUCGGUGAAAGCAGUUCAGCAUUAGGAAAUGAUGAAAUGGAAGACUCAGACAUGAUCAGGGUGCAAGGGAGACCUCAGUUCCAGAGAUCCAAAUUGCAACUCCUAAUCCAGAGAGGCCCAUGGAAGAAGGUGUUUGCCCACAAAAUGAGUGUAUUCUCAACGCCUGCCAUUAGUGGACGAAUCACUAAUCAAUUACAGUGAACAGAACAUGUUGGGUGAAGGAACAUUUGGGAAAGUAUAUCGAGGUUCUUUUCAGGGAACCCCCGCUGCCAUAAACAGGAUUCCAUAUGGCAUAGCAGGACUUCAAGAUCAGGACAUACAGCAUGAGAUUCUCGUCGCAAUGCGAUUGAGCCAUCCCAAUAUUGUACGACUUAUGGCAGCAGCCCACACUGAAAACACGUUCUUGCUGGCCAAUGAAUACAUUCACGGUACAACCCUGGAUAAUGUGCUACACAGUGACAAUGCUUGUGUUAAGCUUGAAGGAAACGAUAGUCAUUUUGUUGCCCUGGACAUUUCAAUGGCUGUUGAAUUCAUUCAUUCAAAAAAUGUCAUCCAUCAGGAUCUGAAGCCUGACAAUAUCCUGAUUGACCAGUUCUUCAAAAAGGCUGUGCUUACUGACUGGGGACUUGCCAACAUAAGGGGCACAGUUUUAUUGCGGCAAGGAAGCAGAUUCACUGGAGGGAAAAUAGGACCAAUGGGUGGUACUUUUCUUUACAUGGCUCCAGAAUGUCUAAUUGAAUUCGAAGAGGCUUCCAGAAGCUCAGACAUAUGUAACUUUGUCUUUGGGAGUAACAUACCUUGAACUUUUUACUAAGUUGAAGCCCUGGACAGUAAAAAACCAGAAGCAGUUGUGCAGCCUGUUGACCAAAAAAUGCACAACCACACGCUCUGGAACAUCUGUGUGAAAGAUACAGUUUCAUAUCUAUGAUGGUACACUAUGACCCAGCAUCAAGACCUGAAGCUUCAUCUGUUGUUCUCUCCUUAAAAACUGUUGAGGGGCUAGAUCUCCAGAGCCGUUAUGGUUACAAAUGGUAAAGAAAAAUCGUGUCAAAAGUUUACAUAUAACCUGCAGAAAAUGGAAAACGUUGCAGAUAUUUACUUGUAGUCAACAACACCAAAAAAAAACAAUUAUUAUUUACAUUUAAUAACUUAACUUACAAAAAUAAGCCAGUUCAAAAUUUUCCACACACCUCAUUUUUUCUACUGUAAAAUGUUAACUGAACAGUUAAUGUCAGUUAUUUGUCAUAGCUGUUGAAGAGUUUCUUGUUCGGUCAGAGCUUACAAAACAUAAGAACUGUUCAGUUAACAUUGUACAGUAGUUAGAAUUAGGUGUGUGGAAACUUUUAAUCUGGCAUAUUUUUGUUGAUUACUAAAUGUAAACAUCUGUUGUGUGAACUAGCUUGUUCAGUGCAGUUUCCAAUUAAAACAAAUUAUUGUUCAAAUAAAUUCUUAAUUUUCAAAAUCCUUCUUGUUUUUCUGAAAUGUGCAAAAUUUUUCACAUUCUGCAGGUUGUAUGUAAACUUUUGCUCGUUAGCCAAUGUUCUUUAUCUGUCAGGGUGUUCCUUAUUCCUGAUGUUAAAAGUUUAAAUAUUUUCUGUGGUUUGGAUGAGAAAUUAC